CGGGCUCAAUUCUGGCUCCCAUCACCGCAAGUGAGCCACGGGUAUGCUUCUCUGUAGGGAACCAAGAGGUCAACUUCCUCUUAGAUACUGGUGCCAGUUAUUCUGUGCUCACCUCUUAUCCUGGACCUCUUUCCUCUAAUACUGUAACCAUACAAGGGGUGUCUGGACGGCCUAUUACCAGAAGGCUUACUCCCCCACUGAGUUGUGAGUGGGACGGGGUGAUGUUUUCUCAUGCAUUUCUGAUAGUCCCAGAAUGUCCUACCCCUUUAUUGGGAAGAGACUUACUUUCAAAACUUCAGACAUCCAUUACAAUGAAUUUAGGACCGGGAGGGCCAUUAUGUUUGCCUUUAUUAGAAUGUAAUAUAAACCCUGAAGUGUGGGCUACUGAAGGCAAAUUGGAUGGGCAAAAAGUGCAGUUCCAAUCAAAAUAGUAUUAAAAGACCCUUCUGUCUUUCCACAUCAGAGACAAUAUCCCCUAUACCCAGAGGCAAAAAAGGGCUUAUUGAAGAUCAUUCAGAACCUCAAACAACA
rnacentral:lncRNA from 1 species